UGCGGUUCCUCCUUUUGGUUACAUCAAAGUGUAAGAUACUCAGGCGGUGACACUCAAUAGGUGCUUUCCAAUAUUCCACCCCCACAUAGCGGAAAGCCUACUGAACAGCCCUGUACGACCAUGAAAAGAACAUGUGAAAACAUUAUAUCAAUGACCACUAUUGUACACAUCUGGCGGGGGGGGAGGAAAAACAGAAGUAAGCAAUCAACAUUCACAAUCACAGUUGCUUUAUGAGUUGUUUGUUUAGUGAGAAGAACCAGGAACUUCUCCAGAAAAAAAGCACUUGUGACAGAAUACCACCUAUCAGACCCAUCUCUGCAUGCCUUCUUGCUGGACACUUUAUGGAGAUGAACCCAAUAUAUAUUGGUGACCUGAAUCCCUCAGCCCAGCAGUACUCCAGGAUUGAGUCUGAAGAUGGUCUAGAAUUGGAAGAACUGCGGGAAGUGUCCGGCGAUGCCUCGAGUUGUCGCCCAAAAGCGCUGCUGGCGGUGACCUUGCUCUGCUGCCUCCUGCUUUCCAGCAAUGUUGUCCUACUUAACCUGUACAUCAAGCAGUCACGGAUGACGCAAGAGGCUCUGCAGAAUGAAACCAAACUUUGGAAAUAUGAAACCUUUCUGAGUCACAACAACACAGCGCUCGGCGACGAGAUCGAUGAGCUCUCCCGGCGCAACGCGGACCUGCAGAACAAGACCCUGGCGCUGCUCGACACCGAAACCGUCCUGCGCGGCCAAAACGAAAACCUGACGCAGCGCCUUGACCUGUGCUGGGCAGAGAACGGAGCCCUGUCUGCUAUCAACACCAACCUGACGGCUUCCAACGGUGCCCUGAGAGGCCACGUGGAGCUACUGACCGGCCUCAACCGUCGCCUGCAGGGCCGCAUCGCCAACUUGUCUCACUCAGAGAAUGAGCUGUUGGAGACCAAUGCGGAUUUGGCUUCGACUGACGCCAAACUGUUGCAAUGGGUCAAAGAUCUGGAGGCCCUGGAAGCCAAUCUGACCUCGGAGGUGGCCAGGAAGAGCGCGGAGGAGCAUGAUUUGGCCCUGCAGUACGCCACGCUGGAGAAACACUGCCACACAAUACUGCCCUCGUUCCGGGAUCACGGCCACCACCACCACCACCAAAUUACCAGCAACAAUGAUUUGACGGGAAAAUCUAUGUAUUUUCCAUACGGAGUCAACGGCUACGUCACAUUCCAGCCAGAGCAAGUGGGCGCCCUGUCCUCCUUCACCAUUUGUCUGACACAUAGCGCUGACCUCUACUGGGAAGUGUCACUACUGCCCCCAGCUGGCCAGGGGGAUAUGGCUCACUUUCAGUGCCUUUCUCACCAUUGCUGGGUGUCGCUUCACCGGGUGAGCAGGACAAUCCAAGUGUCAGACAUGCCCAGGCAGUCGACGGGCUGGAACCACACAUGCCUCACGUGGAGGGCAGACAGCGCCAUGGUGCAUCUGUGGCUCAACGGAGUCGGUGAUCAGGGACACAGGGAAAGUAAGUGGGGGACGGAGCAGCUGGUUGGAUCCAUCGUGCUGCGACAGAACGGGGGCUCCGGAAUGGUCACCAACCUGCAUGUGUGGAACCACGUGCUGUCCAGUUGUGAGAUCAGGUCACUGAGUGCGGGACUCAGCACCACCUCCGGCAAUGUGUUAAACUGGGCAAACUUAAUGAGCUGGCAGCCCAGUCAGAGUCAGAUCCAGUUAACGCCCCAGGAAAACAUGUGCAGGGCAUCAUACUGAUCUCGGGUGUUGAAGUCCUGUAUCUCCCACAGCGUCUUGACAACCCUCUCCAGAAAAUCAGAUUGAACAUGUCCUAUGCAUCUGUAUAUUUAACAAACUCUUUAGUUUUUAAAGGAAAAUCUACCUUGAAACACAGACUUCCAUAAUGAUAAGUCCAUGGAUAUAAGUACAUCUUGAACCCAGGGAAAAUAUUUCACUUCUUACUGAAUAUAGGUGCUGCACCAGCCCAUGUCAGCCCUUUGUUUGUAUAUUAUAUAAUAUGAAUUAAUUGAAACUGCUAGAAAUGUUCACAAGUGAUUAAGGCAAAAGGUUUUUGAGUUUACUGAAGCGCAAUGGUAGAGUGUGAAAAUAAGUUGGAAUAUGUUCUUUAAAUAGCCCUAUAAUAUUUAUGUGCAUAAUUCCAGAUCUGUUAUGCAAGAGCAGAAUUGCUUAUGUUGACAUCUGAUGAGCACAUAUAUCUCAGUCUCCUCAACCGCUGAACACAGUUGGGAUUGGAAGUCUGUCUGUAACACAAUUUGUUAGUACCUUCAAAGUCACUUUUACCACUAAGUCUCAAUCAGUCAGAAGCAUGUAAUAUAGAUGUUGCUUCAUUUAUUCAAAACUUAUGUAUAAAGCUAAAGCAAUUAAAUUAAAAAAUUCUAACACCUACAUCCAUCCAUUAUGCAUAACCACAGUCCUGGGUGCUGGUGGUCUGGAGCCUGGAGCCUACCCUGGAGACCCUGGAUGGGAUGCUAGAACAUCAUAAUGUAACGCUUCAAUUGUAUUAUAUUUUAUUAACUUUGAAAUAGAUUAAAAUGAAAACUAAUUUUAAAUGACAAAAAAAACACAAUGUCCAGAACCACCCAUGCAGCACGGAUUUUUUCACAUAAGUAUGAUCAACGUUUGUCAGCUACUGAGCGCUUUCAAUUUCCUUUACUCUCUUUGCUGUCAAUUAAAGCUCAAUAAAACAGAUGUCCCUU
rnacentral:lncRNA from 1 species